UUCUACAACUGUGCAACAUGCCGUUUUAUCAGUAUUUUAUCUCUUGGUUUUGUACUUUGUGGUCUUGAAAGUGCAAAUUGUUUAGAUUGCCAGCCUGGUUGGAAUCAGUUUCAGAAUAAAUAUAUGCUAUUGGUUCAGUCAUACAGCUAGGCCAUGGGGAGAGGCUGAGGCUAUAUGUGCUGGAUUUCAUUCAAAGUUGGCGGAACCUAGGAC